CCAAUGAGGUAAACCUAUAUGGG
rnacentral:siRNA from 1 species